CUUAAAUGAAAAGUGUAAUAUCCUCUUUCUCUAUUAAGAUGCUUCAUAACUACAGUAGGUGACAGUUCUUAAUGACAAUUGUUCCCUGGAGAAUUCUGAAGCAAGAAUUUACUUAACAUAUUAACUAGUGAACCAGUAUUUCACAUUAUCCUUGCUUUGCUGGACCACACUUACUUAAUAAGAAACAUAAAAGAGUCUUGUGCUCAUGACAUUUUUGUUAUGUUUUUCCUUUUUCAAUUCUGCCUUUUCCUUGUCUGUGUCUGAAUGUUGGCCCUUUUGACUGCUGUUUGCUUUCAGAGUUCAGCUGCAACUGAUGAUACUUCACACGCUCUCUCCUUGUGGCAGCAGCUACAUGAGGACUAUGAGAAAACAGGCUUACAUAAGAAAAGGACAUACUUCCAACAAAUCUCUAUGAACUGGGACACAAGGCCUGAGCCAGCACUGAGCGCCUGGGGGAGAGUAUGUGAGACAGUGAAGGCAGUGAUAUUUCACAGAGUUUUCAACUGUUUUAGAGGAGGGACUGAAAAUCCAGUCGCACAGACCAUGGAGAAUCAAAAGAGGUAGUCUCUGAACAUGCAGACCAGUUUCCUUUCCAAUGAAAGUGAAGGAGCAGAUUCAAGAACUGCACAUAAUGUACCCUAGUCAUUAAUGGAUCCUCAUUGUAGUUACUCCAAAUUAAAACUCCUGAAAUUUGCGUAGUUUGGAUGCCAGUAAUAGUUUUUUUCUGCAUUGUCUUGCACAACUUGUAAACACAGAUGUAGCCAUAUACUGAGCUUAUACCUUCUCUUCCUUUGUUACAGUUGAAGAAAUAUGGGGAGGAGGAAGAAAAUAAAAGAUGACAGGAAAAUACA
rnacentral:lncRNA from 1 species